rnacentral:rRNA from 1 species
UACGUAGGGGGCGAGCGUUGUCCGGAUUUAUUGGGCGUAAAGAGCUCGUAGGCGGCUUGGCAAGUCGGGUGUGAAACCUCCAGCUCAACCUGGAGACGCCACUCGAUACUGCCAUGGCUAGAGUCCGGUAGGGGACCACGGAAUUCCUGGUGUAGCGGUGAAAUGCGCAGAUAUCAGGAGGACACCGGUGGCGAAGGCGGUGGUCUGGGCCGGCACUGACGCUGAGGAGUGAAGCGUGGGUAGCAAACAGG